AUUGAACGCUGGCGGCAGGCCUAACACAUGCAAGUCGAGCGGAUGAAGGGAGCUUGCUCCUGGAUUCAGCGGCGGACGGGUGAGUAAUGCCUAGGAAUCUGCCUGGUAGUGGGGGAUAACGUCCGGAAACGGGCGCUAAUACCGCAUACGUCCUGAGGGAGAAAGUGGGGGAUCUUCGGACCUCACGCUAUAAGAUGAGCCUAGGUCGGAUUAGCUAGUUGGUGGGGUAAAGGCCUACCAAGGCGACGAUCCGUAACUGGUCUGAGAGGAUGAUCAGUCACACUGGAACUGAGACACGGUCCAGACUCCUACGGGAGGCAGCAGUGGGGAAUAUUGGCCAAUGGGCGAAAGCCUGAUCCAGCCAUGCCGCGUGUGUGAAGAAGGUCUUCGGAUUGUAAAGCACUUUAAGUUGGGAGGAAGGGCAGUAAGUUAAUACCUUGCUGUUUUGACGUUACCAACAGAAUAAGCACCGGCUAACUUCGUG
rnacentral:rRNA from 1 species